rnacentral:rRNA from 1 species
GACGAACGCUGGCGGCGUGCUUAAUACAUGCAAGUCGAGCGAGGCCCAUCCAGUGGCAACACUGGGGAAGGCCGAGCGGCGAACGGGUGAGUAACACAUGAGCAACCUGCCCCGAAGUCUGGAAUAACAUCGGGAAACCGGUGCUAAUACCGGAUUGCCCCACCUGACCGCAUGAUCGGGUGAGGAAAGAUUUAUCGCUUCGGGAGGGGCUCGCGGCCUAUCAGCUAGUGGCGGGGUAACGGCCCACCAAGGCGUCGACGGGUAGCUGGUCUGAGAGGACGACCAGCCACACUGGGACUGAGACACGGCCCAGACUCCUACGGGAGGCAGCAGUAGGGAAUCUUGCGCAAUGGGCGAAAGCCUGACGCAGCAACGCCGCGUGGGGGAUGACGGCCU